rnacentral:rRNA from 1 species
UGCAAGUCGAGCGCGCCCUUCGGGGCGAGCGGCGGACGGGUGAGUAACACGUGGGAACGUGCCCUUCUCCACGGAAUAGCCUUUGGAAACGAAGAGUAAUACCGUAUACGCCCUUCGGGGGAAAGAUUUAUCGGUGAAGGAUCGGCCCGCGCCCGAUUAGGUAGUUGGUGGGGUAAUGGCCCACCAAGCCGACGAUCGGUAGCUGGUUUUAGAGGACGAUCAGCCACACUGGGACUGAGACACGGCCCAGACUCCUGCGGGAGGCAGCAGUGGGGAAUCUUGGACAAUGGGGGAAACCCUGAUCCAGCCAUGCCGCGUGAGUGAAGAAGGCCCUAGGGUCGUAAAGCUCUUUCGCCAGGGAUGAUAAUGACAGUACCUGGUAAAGAAACCCCGGCUAACUCCGUGCCAGCAGCCGCGGUAAUACGGAGGGGGUUAGCGUUGUUCGGAAUUACUGGGCGUAAAGCGCACGUAGGCGGGCUGGAAAGUCGGGGGUGAAAUCCCGGGGCUCAACCCCGGAACUGCCUUCGAAACUCCCAGUCUGGAGUUCGGAAGAGGUGAGUGGAAUUCCGAGUGUAGAGGUGAAAUUCGUAGAUAUUCGGAAGAACACCAGUGGCGAAGGCGGCUCACUGGUCCGAUACUGACGCUGAGGUGCGAAAGUGUGGGGAGCAAACAGGAUUAGAUACCCUGGUAGUCCACACCGUAAACGAUGAAUGCCAGUCGUCGGGCAGCAUGCUGUUCGGUGACACACCUAACGGAUUAAGCAUUCCGCCU